AGGAGAGCAAGAAUUCAUAUUAAACCUACUCAAAACUUAAUUAAUAUAGGUUUUCUGAGACAAUUUAAGAACGUCUCUAGAUCUAUCACAAAAAUCUGAGUCCCCAAAAUAUAAUAGGCCUCUCAAGAUCAUAUAUAUCAAAUUGAGAUGACGAUAUGCACUUAUUCCUAGUGUCCCUCAAGUAUAUGCAUUGAUCAACAACAUUCUCCUUGAAACCGAAAGAAGUGACAAUCACAUCAACUUUUAAGUACCAUUGUCUCGAUGCCUCCUUAAGCCCAUAAAUAUACUUCUUAAACUUACACACCAUGUGUACCUUUCUUUCUACUUGGAAACCAUUUGGUUGCAUCAUGUACACAUCCUCAAAUAAAUGUCCAUUAAGAAAAGCUGUCUUGACAUCCAUUUGAUGCAACUCAAGAUCAAAAUGAGCCACCAAUGCCAUAAUAAUCUGAAAAGAAUCCUUGGUAGAAACAGGAGAAAAUGUAUCAUUGUAAUCAAUGCCUUCUCUUUGAUUAAACCCCUUAGCAACAAGCCUAGCUUUAUACCUUUCCACUUGAACUUGAGAAUUAUACUUGGUCUUGAGAAUCCAUUCACAACCAAUUGGCCUACAGCUCCAAGGUAGUUUAACUAAGUCUUAUGCUCCGUUUCGAGACAAUUGAUGCCAUCUCAUCAUGCAUAGUAUCCAUCUAAAAUGAAGAUUUAGGACUAUUAAUGGCCUUCUCAAAAGCGGUCGGAUCAACAGAUGUAUCAGCAUCAAACUCAUCUCCUACGAUUAGACAAAUAUAAUCAUCAGAAAUUGUUGGUCUACAAAUUCUC
rnacentral:lncRNA from 1 species